UCUUAUCAAGAGCGGUGGAGGGACUGGCCCUUUGAAACCCGACAACCGGCAUCAAUUUUUAGAUGUAUCGGUGUCAAUUCCUGCAAAGUGAA
rnacentral:ncRNA from 1 species